rnacentral:tRNA from 1 species
GCAGGUUAGCUCAGUUGGUUAGAGCAUGGUGCUAAUAACACCAAGUUCACAGGUUCAAUCCCUGCUUACUGCA